AUAUUGGACAAUGGGGGCACCCCUGAUCCAGCCAUGCCGCGUGUGUGAAGAAGGUCUUCGGUUUGUAAAGCUCUUUAAGUUGGGAGGAAGGGCUUUAGGCUCAUAUCCUGAACUUUUGACGUUACCAACAGAAAAAGCACCGGCUAACUCUGUUCCAGCAGCCGCGGUAAUACAGAGGGUGCAGGCGUUAAUCGGAAUUACUGGGAGUAAAGCGCGCGUAGGUGGUUCAGUAAGAUGGGUGUGAAAUCCCCGGGCUUAACCUGGGAACUGCUUUCAUAACUGCUGAGCUAGAGUACGGUAGAGGGUAGUGGAAUUUCCUGUGUAGAGGUGAAAUGCGUAGAUAUAGGAAGGAACACCAGUGGCGAAGGCGACUACCUGGACUGAUACUGACACUGAGGUGCGAAAGCGUGGGGAGCAAAC
rnacentral:rRNA from 1 species